GAUCAUGGCUCAGGAUGAACGCUAGCUACAGGCUUAACACAUGCAAGUCGAGGGGCAGCAUGAACUUAGCUUGCUAAGUUUGAUGGCGACCGGCGCACGGGUGAGUAACACGUAUCCAACCUGCCGAUGACUCGGGGAUAGCCUUUCGAAAGAAAGAUUAAUACCCGAUGGCAUAGUUCUUCCGCAUGGUGGAACUAUUAAAAAAUUUACGGUUCAUCGAUGGGGAGUGCGUUCCAUUAGGUUUGG
rnacentral:rRNA from 1 species